rnacentral:misc_RNA from 1 species
CCAACCCUCUCGCCGGCAAUGCGCUCGAACGCAUCACGCGUGACCAUGCCGCCCGCACCACCGCUGGUCCAGAUGAGCGGCACAUACUCGUAGCCGCUGCCCAUCGUCUUGAGAAAUCCCGACAGCGCAAAGCUCGUGUCGCAAAGCCACUUCAGCACGUCGGGC